rnacentral:tRNA from 1 species
UCCCUGGUAGUCCAGUGGUUAGGACUCAGAACUUUCAUUGACGAUGACCUGGGUUUGAUCCCUGGCUAGGGAA